rnacentral:rRNA from 1 species
CAGUAGCCGCGGUAAUACGUAGGGUGCGAGCGUUGUCCGGAAUUAUUGGGCGUAAAGAGCUUGUAGGUGGUUUGUCGCGUCUGCUGUGAAAAUCCGAGGCUCAACCUCGGACUUGCAGUGGGUACGGGCAGACUAGAGUGUGGUAGGGGAGACUGGAAUUCCUGGUGUAGCGGUGGAAUGCGCAGAUAUCAGGAGGAACACCGAUGGCGAAGGCAGGUCUCUGGGCCAUUACUGACACUGAGAAGCGAAAGCAUGGGGAGCGAACAGGAUUAGAUACCCCAGUAGUCCCUGUCUCUUAUAC